AUUGAACGCUGGCGGAAUGCUUUACACAUGCAAGUCGAACGGCAGCACGGACUUCGGUCUGGUGGCGAGUGGCGAACGGGUGAGUAAUGUAUCGGAACGUGCCCAGUCGUGGGGGAUAACGUAGUGAAAAUUACGCUAAUACCGCAUACGAUCUAUGGAUGAAAGCGGGGGAUCGCAAGACCUCGCGCGAUUGGAGCGGCCGAGAUCAGAUUAGGUAGUUGGUGGGGUAAAGGCCCACCAAGCCAACGAUCUGUAGCUGGUCUGAGAGGACGACCAGCCACACUGGAACUGAGACAUGGUCCAGACUCCUACGGGAGGCAGCAGUGGGGAAUUUUGGACAAUGGGCGAAAGCCUGAUCCAGCCAUUCCGCGUGCAGGAUGAAGGCCCUCGGGCUGUAAACUGCUUUUGUACAGAACGAAAAGGUUUCUACUAAUACUAGGAGCUCAUGACGGUACUGUAAGAAUAAGCACCGGCUAACUACGUGCCAGCCGCCGCAGUAA
rnacentral:rRNA from 1 species